GAUGAACGCUGGCGGCGUGCCUAAUACAUGCAAGUCGAGCGAACGGACGAGAAGCUUGCUUCUCUGAUGUUAGCGGCGGAAGGGGGAGUAACACGUGGAUAACCUACCUAUAAGACUGGGAUAACUUCGGGAAACCGGAGCUAAUACCGGAUAAUAUUUUGAACCGCAUGGUUCAAAAGUGAAAGACGGUCUUGCUGUCACUUAUAGAUGGAUCCGCGCUGCAUUAGCUAGUUGGUAAGGUAACGGCUUACCAAGGCAACGAUGCAUAGCCGACCUGAGAGGGUGACCGGCCAAACUGGAACGGAGACACGGCCCAGACUCCUACGGGAGGAAGCAGUAGGGAAUCUUCCGCAAUGGGCGAAAGCCUGACGGAGCAACGCCGCGGGAGUGAUGAAGGUCUUCGGAUCGUAAAACUCUGUAUUUAGGGAAGAACAUAUGUGUAAGUAACUGUGCACAUCUUGACGGUACCUAAUCAGAAAGCCACGGCUAACUACGUG
rnacentral:rRNA from 1 species